rnacentral:lncRNA from 1 species
GGGGUCGUUACUGAGAUUAGAAGCUGCAGGCAGUUUUAGGGAAAGGACGCCAGCUCCGCCGAAGCACACACCCAGCAAAGCUGUUUUUGUCCGAGAAUCUAGCGGUUGUUCGGUUCACGAGGCUGAUAUCUCAGCUGGUCUUUAGUAGAUGCCAGAAUCCGGAAGAAAUAAGCUCUAAUGCCAGAGAGAGAAAGCAGGCAAAAAGCAAGCUUUCUUCUUCGCUGUGGACUGCAGACAGAAGGAUCAGCAAGAUGGUAACCAUCCUUGCCGCCAAGCCUGAUGACCUGACUUCAAUCCCCGGGACCCACGUAGUAGGAGAAAACUCACUCCAGAAGGUCGUCCCUGAUCUUCAUUUGAGCUUUUCAGAUAAGUUAAUGUUUUUUUAUUUUUAAAGUGUUUGCAUAAGAAGAGAAUAGCACAAGAAAUAGCUCUCAAUGGAGGUUAUCUUGUUCCCCAUGACACCAUGGCAAUGCCUGGAGAUACUACUAUUUUUGUCACAACUGGGACAUGUUGUGGAAUAGAGUAUUUGUUUAACUAUGUAAAGAUGUGUUGCUGUUUCACCUUGCUUACUUAAGGCACCUGAUUGAUCUAAUAAAAAGCUGAACAACCAAUAGUUAGGGAAAGGAGGGGUAGGCAGGGCUGGUGGUCAAAGAGAAAGAGGGAGCCAGCCAGCCAGGGGCCAGCAAACCAGAAAUGGAGGAAGCAAGAAAGCAGGAUGCACAGUACGUAGAUGAGGUAAACAAGCCUCAGGCAGCCUUAAAUUAGUAGAAAUGGGUUACUUUUUUUUUUAAAGCUAGCUAGAAACAAGAUAAGGCUGGGCAUUUAUAAUAAGUCUGUGUCAUGAUUUGGGGCUGGAGGUCCAAGAAAGCCUGCUACAGGGGCAGAGACGCUGUUAACAAAUGGGUGGUCAGGGAUGCUGAACACUCUCCAGAGGCAAGAUAGUCUCCCAACACGCCCACUAAUAGCCCAGGCCUGUCCAACCCAACCCAGUGUGGACCAAGAUUUUCCUAUACUCAUUAUUCUUACUCGUUGUUCACGAAUUUUCAUAUUUCAUAUGACAUCAUGAUCUACAAUGACAUUCUCAUGAUAUUAAAGUUAGUCUUAAAAAAGAAUGAGUCCUUAUUUCUGGCCCAUGAAUCAAAUCUGACAUUUCAAAAGCUUAAAAUAAGAAGUUACCACUGUUGAGAGAGAAUUCCUCAUCCGAGCAAGAGACACCAGUUUUGUUCAAAGUUGUCUGUGUUAACAGCCGGCCUUGGGGUGAAGCAGCUGCUCUGUGAUAGCGGCUGAAGCCGUGUGUGGAUGUGUAUUGUUGACAUGGGCACAGCCAUAUCCAGGACUCCAAUGCCUCAGCCCCAUGGGAAUGGGAAGCCUUACGAGGCUCAAAGAGAUGGCAAAACUUUCCUCAGAGUCCAAAUGAAUGAGUGAGCAGUGUGUGUAAGGACUAGCAACUGACAUUUCCUCCUCCUCUGAUGUUUAGGGCUGAGGCUGCUCACCUACAGAGACCUCCUACCCAGAGUACAGUACAUGACCCUCCCCAAGUGCUGUGCCUAAUAAACACGCCGAGGCUCAAGUUUCUGGUUGUAGUGGGCAUCCUCCAUCAGAAUGGGGAUACUUCCACCUUAUCCCAGCUUCCGUGUGUGUGUGUGUGUGUGUGUGUGUGUGUGUGUGUGUGUGUGUGUCUUCUUUGUUCUCUCUCUGCCCCUGGUCAGGGUUCCAGAAUCCAAGCCACAUGGAUUUGUGACUCUGUCCAAAGAAAAGUAUCCAACCAGGCAGUGGUGGUACAUGCCUUUAACCCCAGCACUGGGGAGGCAGAGGCCAGCAGAUCUAUGAGUUCAAGGCCAGCCUAGUCUAAAGAGCGAGUUCCAGGACAGAGGAAAAUACCCAAAAACUGUGCUGGUAGCAAAUGCCUUUAAUCCAAAGAUACAGGCAAGUGGAUCUUGGUGAGUUCAAGGCCAACCUGAUCUACAUAGUGAAUUCCAGGCCAGCCAGUGCUACACAGAGUCCCAAAAUGGGAACAAAGACUUAUUUCUCUUAGAUUCUGAGUAAACGGCAAUCAUUGGGUCUUUGCUACCCAAGGUUGAAGUGGUUGGUUCCUUUCCUCUUGCGUGGUCUCAUUUUUAGACUUUCCAUAGACUUUUCCUGUUUACUGGAAAUACCCAGACCCACCUGACCCCAGCAGUGUCCCACCCUGCAACUCUAGGUGAAAGCCUCUAUACAAAAAUAAGCAUUUAAAAGAUGGAUUAUCCAGCCCAUCCUAGGUCUGGACUAUUGUAGCUACUGGCUUGACAGCUGAACUGCAGUCACUGCUUCAGGGCAAACCAUACCUACCUGGAGCAUUUGUGCAAACAAAUGAGGCCACAUUUGUCUCUAUAGUCUGGACUCAUUUUCAUAUUGAUGGCUGGAUUCCAAGGGUCUUGUAUGUAUCUGCAGCCCAGCAGCAGGAGAGGAUUGAGCUAGGAGAGCAGUUGAGUUGGGGGUUGGUCAAAGUGCACUUGCCUAGUUUCUGUUGCUAUGAUAAACUAUCCUCACGAAAAGCAACUUAGGGAGGAAGGAACUUAUUUUAGUUCGCAGUUCAAGGUUUUAACCUGAAAGGCCCUGCAGGAUAAAGAAGACCCCCUCAGCAGACAAAAUAAGGCCUAGGAUAUAGGGUGGCUAGCCAGUUCAGCAACUCUGUUCCAGGAAAAGGCGAGCCAUAAAAAGUUAGAUUAGAAUCUUACAAACGAUCUUAAGGAACAGGGAGUUUCCCCUUGUGAUUUCCCUCUGGACCUUUCACUGGUAUUCUUGGUAUUUUGGGUUGUGGAUUCUUCCUUUAAAAACCCCUAUUCCCAGCCAUUUGGGGUGGAAACUCCUCUACCCCUGUGUGGGAUAUGAGUCUCGGCCCCAGCGCGCUGGUUCCUGUCCAUAAACCUCGUGUGAUUGCAGCAAGGACAGUCUCUUGUGAGUUCUGGGGGGUCGAGUCAUCCCUAGACUUGAUCAAGGAUCUUCCCUCUCAGGGGGUCUUACAAACCCAUCACUGUGAGGACGUCACAUUGACAGGGACUUGAAGAUAGCUGGUCACAGUGAAGGGCAGAGAAAUGAAUGUACAAGCAUUUGCUUGCUUGUUUUCCCAUGCUCAGCUUGAGUUCCCCACCCUAACACAACCCAGGACCCCCUGUGUAUGAAAUAGUGCCACCCACAGUGUAUUUUCCCAUAUCAAACUUAUUAAAACAAUCUUCCACAGACAUGACCACAGGCUAACCCAAUGAGUACAAUUCCUCAUUUAGACUUUCUUCUCAGGUGACACUAGGUUGUGCCAAGUUGACAAUGCCCAAUUAGCAUGCCCAGGCCUGGCUUCUGUCCCCCAGCGCUGCAGCAUAAACAAAAGAGCAAAACAAUUCAUAGAUGGAGAGACAGUGCUGCCCUUGCUAGCUGUCAAACUUCCAGGAUGAUGUCAUUCUUUCCUGGCCCCUGCCUGUCCUUGUAGAUUCUGCAGGAAUCUUCCUCUCAUAUUUUAACUGCAGUUUAGUCACCUUCCAGCAUCCUAAGCCUUGUAUGGAAAACACCAUCCACAGAAGAGGUUCCUCUCUGUGCUUUGUGAAGCCACUGUCCCUGGGGGCCAAAGGCUGCCUGGCCUCUAGCCUUACUUCCUGACUAGUGGCCGAAUGGUUGCAGCUUGGCCAUUGUCCUGGGAUUCCAUCUCCAGCGCUGGAGAAGAGAAUUGUCACUCAAGGCCCUUUCAACCUUCCAGCCUUCUACCUGCGUGAAAGAGGAGAGGUGACAGCUGAGCAGAGGAGACGGAGAACACAAGCUGCUACCCGAACAGAUUCUGAGGAACCCUUGACUCCCAGUCUUGCGUGAAGAUCUACUUUCAGAGGCACCUGACAGGGACUCCUGUAUCCCAGGCUGGUCUUAAAUCUGAAAAGUAGCUGAGGACGACCUUGAAUUCCUGAUCCUUCUGCUCUACCUCCUACCCCAGCCAAGUGCUGGGAUUACAGUCCAGUUUUGUUGUAAGACUUUAAAAAAAAAAAAACUACACUUGCUUUUGUUCAAGAGAAACAUGAGAAGCUUAAAAACGUUUGGCCUUCAAACCUGACAGCUCAGGCACAAGUCUAGAUCAGUUGUCCCCUCCUGAACCCGGAGCUGUUAACCACACAACAAGCCACCUCCUCUAGCUACACGUUGCUGAUAUAAUUUAAUGUAAUGACCACAUGGGUUUUGGUUGGCUGGACAGCAAACGUUGCCCAAAGCAACCCAUUCUUUGUUAAAUGAAAUUGGAGGUUGCCUGUAGAGCCGUGGGCUUGGUUCUUGAAACAUUCUCGGCACUUGCUGCAAGAGGCC